GGCACGGUGGUGCAGUGGUUAGCACUGUCACCUCGCAGCAAGAAGAUCGUGGGUUGGAACCCAGCCUGGGACC